AGAGCAUGUUAGUGCCCAAUUUGUGUUAUAUGGAAGCAUGUUAGGUGAAAUGUUGAAUGUUGAAUGAAAUGGAACGGGGUAAUUAAAUGCAUGUGAUAAUACAAGAGAUAGACUUGAGAACAAAUGAGAACUGAAUGUUUAUUGAAAAAAAUGAGCAAUCAAUAAAGAGGUACAAUUAGUGCUUGACUUAUGACCACAAUUCAUCCCAAAAUUUCUGUUGGUGAGACAGUUAAGUGAGUUUUGCCCCAUUUUACAACCUUUCUUGCCAUAGUUGUUAGUGACACGGUUGUAAAGUGAAUCUGGCUUCUCCAUUGACUUUGCUUGUCAGAAGCUUGCAAAAGGUGAUAACAUGACCCAGGGAUAUUGCAACCAUCAUAAAUGUGAGCCACUGUCCAAAUUUCGAUCACGUGACCAUGGGGAUAUGGCAACGGUUGUAAGUGUGAAAUAUGAUCAUAAGCCCCUUUUUCUCAGUACCAUUGUAACUUUGAACAAUCACUAAAUGGAUGAUUGUAAAUUGGGGAUUACCUGUAAUAUGUUGAAAUGUGAAGGGAGAAAAAACAAGAAAAUUUCCUUAAAUGGAAUUGAUGAAAUUCUCAAAAUGAGGGAAGUGACAAGUUUAAAGAAAAAUAACCAAGCAUAAAGCAAGUUAUGAAUGUGUUAAAAUGUUUGCAAAAACAGAAAAGUGUGGAGGCAGUGAACCGUAUUGAUAUGAAUUAUUUCCCUUACGUUUCCUUUCCCUUUUGUUAUCUCCCAUUUUUUAAUUUCAAUUUGUUUGCAUCCAGAUCACAUCUUAUUAGUGAAAUGUUUUGAAAUCCAGCUUCUAAUUUGAAUAAAGUAAUAUUCAGUAGGCAUCCAUAUUGUGGGACUUGAUUAGCUGCUAACAAUCUGAUUAGUUUUUCUUUUUUGAAGAUGAAAUGGAACACUUUAAGGAUAUUUUUUCUUGGAAAUACAAAGCAGUGAGAACACCAAAGCUUUCCAAAAAAACAUUGUCGGUAUCCAAAGUAUUAAAAAUGGAAAGGGGUAUCCCUUGUUUUAUACUAAUAGAGGUAUGAAGAACUUAAAUAUUCUAUGAAAACUGAGCGAAGCAAUAGGAAAUGGAAAACUGACUCCACUCCCUACUCCAAAAACAGAGUAGAAGGUGAGUUGCUAGGCAACCUCAUAUGGAACACUGGCCUUUUUCAUGAAGAUAACUACUCUUACCUCUCUGGCUCCCUCGCGGGAGUUAAUUCAAAGGCCAUGUAUUAGAAAGAAGGCUUAGGAUAUGAAAUACUAUUAAAAUAUUGAUAAAAGCUCUAAUAGAGUCUUUCUACUUCACUGGGCAGAGAGUAAAAUCAAGGAAGGAAGGAAGAGAUCCAGUGUUCUCUCAUGGAGGCAGAAUGGCUUAAAAUGCCUUAUCUGAAUCCAACCAACCAGGCGGAAAUGUGGCUAAGAGGCAGGAUAUUAAAAGCUCGAUUGGAAUUGGAAUUAGUGGCAGGUGGCCGAAGAAAAGAACAGGAGCUGAAUGAUAGAGGAACUGAGAAGUCAGCCAUGUUGCAAUUUAGAUCAAUGUGAAAGAUGCAGGAGACAUUGGUAUCUUCGUGGAAAUCUAACCAUUCUUUCUACUUUUAUGAAUUGUAAAGCAAUGUUACUUUUAUCAGAAUAUCAGAAGACCAGAGUUUUAUUAGCAAUAUCAUUGUACAGGUCUGGAAAAUUGUCCCUAUUUUUCUUUCUAAAUAUAGUCCACCCCUUUUUAGUGAUGGUUGGAUUAUUUGCCAUGGGAAUAAGAAGGAUCCCACCUAAUAACUAGACUAUUAGCUUAGACUAUUUUUAUCUGGCAAAUUAUUCUUUGAUAGCUUUAUUGCGCAAUAUACCCUUAAACUCUUCUAUAGGAAGUUUCUGGCAAUUACAAAUUCCAAUCCACUUAAAAAUGCCUAUUGUUUCAGUAAUGAGCAAAAUAUUGUACAGAACUGGUUAUGCCAUAAAUAACUAGAUUUCAGUUCAUUGGCAACUGAAGCAAAAUUAAGUGCCUAAAAUAAGUGUGUAUAGAUGACUGUGGGCACAAAUCUUGUCCUGUAGUGGUUACAGAUAACAUUCUAAAAAAAUGGAGGGAGAGUUUAAAGCUGAAGUAAAAAGUCACUUCUUUUCUUGCAAAAAUCCAUCUCUAUGUAUAGUUUACAUAAAAGGAAGUUUUUAAAAAAGCAAAACCAGAACUAAAUAAAGACUGUUGGUAUACUGUAUAGCAACAA